rnacentral:misc_RNA from 1 species
CACUCAUCUCUUCUUACCCACACCCACUCUCACACUCACACUAACACACUCAUCCCGAUGGAUCUCCAAGGUACCAUCGUCUUCACCACCGUUGGCCGUCCUAACUAUGGCUUUGACGUUUUCUCCAUCAAACUGCCCUCCAAUUUAAAUCACUCCAAAUUCUCCAAUUCCGAUGAACUUCGCCUUACUGACGGCAUCUCCAUCAAUUUUAACGCCCAAUUCAUCCAUGAACACAAUCAAGCUAUUGUCUUCGUCUCCGAACGAACUGGUUACCCCGGAAUUUACCUGUCACGAUCUGGACUUCCCAAAUUGGAGCAGCUUCCAUCUGUCCUGGAGAGCCUUUUUCAUGAUCGUCCGAUCAUCAAGCAUAAUCGC